GAGAGAGGCUCCCAGCAACGAAAACUGCUAAUUUUCGCGACUUUGGUUAAACUCCAAGGCUCACUCG
rnacentral:tRNA from 1 species